GCUUUGGUGGUUCAGUAGUAGCAUUCUCGCCUAUGACGCGAGCGACCCGGGUUCGAUUCCCGACUAAUCCA